UUUUUAGUGUAACUAUGUUCUAUGCACUCUUUGGGACAUACUUACACUAAAA
rnacentral:pre_miRNA from 1 species